UGGGGAAUAUUGCACAAUGGGCGCAAGCCUGAUGCAGCCAUGCCGCGUGUAUGAAGAAGGCCUUCGGGUUGUAAAGUCCUUUCAGCGGGGAGGAAGGUGUUGAGGUUAAUAACCUCAGCAAUUGACGUUACCCGCAGAAGAAGCACCGGCUAACUCCGUGCCAGCAGCCGCGGUAAUACGGAGGGUGCAAGCGUUAAUCGGAAUUACUGGGCGUAAAGCGCACGCAGGCGGUCUGUCAAGUCGGAUGUGAAAUCCCCGGGCUCAACCUGGGAACUGCAUUCGA
rnacentral:rRNA from 1 species